GACAUUUUGAAGAUGCGUUACACAGAAAGUUAUAAGUCCAAGUAAAAAGUAUCCAGACUGGUAUAAUUUAUGCUUGUGAUUUAUUUUGUUACAGAAAAGAGGUACCUCAGUAACACACUGGGAACUUCAGAAGAAAACCUCCACACCCAGCUCACAGGAGUUCUUAGGUAUGGAAUUGAAGAAGUCUUUACAACUAAAGGGUCCUGAUCAUGAAAACAACUGUGACCAAUCGGAAGUCACUGUGGCUACUGCUGCUGAUAUUAGCCUUCUUGAUCACUUUUACAGUUCUCCAAAAGUCCACAAAGAUACAGACUGCUCUCAAGUUGCCUAUCUCCCUCCAUCACUGGAACAUUAUCAGAGAGUCCUCAAGCCCUGGAGCAUCUCUGAAUCCAGCAGCUUCACCAACAGAGACUGAGCAGAGAAUAA
rnacentral:lncRNA from 1 species